AUUGAACGCUGGCGGCAGGCCUAACACAUGCAAGUCGAGCGGAUGAAGGGAGCUUGCUCCUGGAUUCAGCGGCGGACGGGUGAGUAAUGCCUAGGAAUCUGCCUGGUAGUGGGGGAUAACGUCCGGAAACGGGCGCUAAUACCGCAUACGUCCUGAGGGAGAAAGUGGGGGAUCUUCGGACCUCACGCUAUCAGAUGAGCCUAGGUCGGAUUAGCUAGUUGGUGGGGUAAAGGCCUACCAAGGCGACGAUCCGUAACUGGUCUGAGAGGAUGAUCAGUCACACUGGAGCUGAGACACGGUCCAGACUCCUACGGGAGGCAGCAGUGGGGAAUAUUGGACAAUGGGCGAAAGCCUGAUCCAGCCAUGCCGCGUGUGUGAAGAAGGUCUUCGGAUUGUAAGGCACUUUAAGUUGGGAGGAAGGGCAGUAAGCUAAUACCUUGCUGUUUUGACGUUACCAACAGAAUAAGCACCGGCUAACUUCGUG
rnacentral:rRNA from 1 species